CCCUUAGAUGUUCUGGGCUGCACACGUGCUACACUGGCAGGUUCAGCGAGCUUCAUGCCCUGAUCUGAAAGGAAUGGGAAAUCUUUUCAAAACCUGCCGUGCUUGGGAUAGAGGUUUGCAAUUAUUCAUCUUCAACGAGGAUUGCCUUGUAAGCGCACGUCAUCAGCGUGCAUUGAAUACGACCCUGUAUUCUGUACACACCGCCCGUCGCUCCUACCGAUUGAAGUUUUCGGUGAGUUGACAGGAGGAUUUUUUUGAAACUGGUUCGCCAGUGGAUUUUAGAUCCAAAUGCCAACGAAUCGAUGGCUUUAGAGGAAGGAGAAGUCGUAACA
rnacentral:rRNA from 1 species